rnacentral:rRNA from 1 species
AGGGCGAGGGAAAACCGGACAAGCGACCUCUCCGUAUCUGAUCUUGAAGACUUCCACUGCGUGUCCCUCUGUACAGCUUUGCAGGCUCCGGCCUCGGCAGCGGGGGGUUCAUAGUGGUCGUCGACCUCCACGAAACUGCUCGCUCCGGCGUGACAGCGUACUGGGGAUGCCUGUGUUUACGCAGUCCGGGCUUGCCUGGACCGCCAGCAGAUGGGCUCUGUGGAUGACUGGCCGCUGGCUAGACCUGAAACCUGAGCAACGGGAGGUAACCUCUCGCCGUGGACACCGGAAUGGUAGAAGCGGCGUGCUGCGUCCUCCUCUUGGGGCCCCUAAGCCACACCUCCCACAGCGGGCUCGGUGCGGCGGACGGACGCCCUGGGGAAUUUAGAGGGGGAAAGCGGAUUGCCCUAGCGGUGUUGUUGGCCCUGCCGACCUCACUGCGAAAGGCGCGA